UUUCCCGCGUGAAAUUAGCUCAUUUCCCUCCAAAAAGUUAAAUGUGUAUAUAUUUAGCUGACUGAUCUUCAGUCUGGUCUCUUCUCUGAGGACACAAACAUGGUGAACAGUGGGACUUGUCUUCAGCUUCAGGUGGAACAUCUCUGGUCUGUAUGGUGAUCAGCACUGGAGAGGAGAGACACCUGGUCCAACAAGGUGACGGACGAGCAGCUAAGACGAUUAAGACGAGCCACCACAGGACCUGAAGCAGGAAAACUGAGUAUCCGUCUUCUGAUAAAACCCCUUCAGGUCCUGCAGUUGUUCGUUGACUCUGGUUUCACCUGCUCAGACAGUGAGCACUGUUGUCUUUACUGGUUAUGUACAUAAUAAAAUCUUGUUUUAAUUACU